GAUGAACGCUGGCGGCGUGCCUAAUACAUGCAAGUCGAGCGAACAGAUGAGGAGCUUGCUCCUCUGACGUUAGCGGCGGACGGGUGAGUAACACGUGGAUAACCUACCUAUAAGACUGGGAUAACUUCGGGAAACCGGAGCUAAUACCGGAUAAUAUAUUGAACCGCAUGGUUCAAUAGUGAAAGACGGUUUUGCUGUCACUUAUAGAUGGAUCCGCGCCGCAUUAGCUAGUUGGUAAGGUAACGGCUUACCAAGGCAACGAUGCGUAGCCGACCUGAGAGGGGGAACGGGCAAAACGGAAAUGGGAACAGGGCCAAGCUCCUUAGGGAGGGAACAGUUAGGAAACUUUCCGCAUGGGCGAAAGCCUGACGGAGCAACGCCGCGUGAGUGAUGAAGGUCUUCGGAUCGUAAAACUCUGUUAUUAGGGAAGAACAAAUGUGUAAGUAACUAUGCACGUCUUGACGGUACCUAAUCAGAAAGCCACGGCUAACUACGUG
rnacentral:rRNA from 1 species